AGCAGUCGUGGUAAUUUCAGCUCCAAUAGCGUAUAUUAAAGUUGCUGCAGUUAAAAAGCUCGUAGUUGAAUUUCGGGAUUAGUACGCUGGUCGUGCCUUCGGUACGUACUGGUGUUACUGAUUCCUACCUUCUGACGAACCAUCAUGUCAUUAAUUUGGUGUGGCGGGGAAUCAGGACUGUUACUUUGAAGAAAUUAGAGUGUUUAAAGCAGGCUCGCGCUUGAAUACAUUAGCAUGGAAUAAUGAAAUAGGACGUUUGAUUCUAUUUUGUUGGUUUCUAGGAUCGACGUAAUGAUUAAUAGGGAUAGUUGGGGGCAUUAGUAUUCAAUUGUCAGAGGUGAAAUUCUUGGAUUUAUUGAAGACUAACUUCUGCGAAAGCAUUUGCCAAGGAUGUUUCAUUAAUCAAGAACGAAAGUUAGGGAUCGAAGUCGAUCAGAUACCGUCGUAGUCUUAACCAUAAACUAUGCCGACUAGGGAUCGGACGAUUGUUAAAUUUAUGACUCGUUCGGCGU
rnacentral:rRNA from 1 species